rnacentral:rRNA from 1 species
GAUGAACGCUGGCGGCGUGCCUAACACAUGCAAGUCGAGCGAAGCGCCUUACUUGAUUUCUUCGGGAUGAAAGUAUUGUGACUGAGCGGCGGACGGGUGAGUAACGCGUGGAUAACCUGCCUCAUACAGGGGGAUAACAGUUAGAAAUGACUGCUAAUACCGCAUAAGACCACAGCUCCGCAUGGAGCAGUGUGAAAAACUCCGGUGGUGUGAGAUGGACCCGCGUCUGAUUAGCCAGUUGGCGGGGUAACGGCCCACCAAAGCGACGAUCAGUAGCCGGCCUGAGAGGGUGAACGGCCACAUUGGGACUGAGACACGGCCCAA